rnacentral:rRNA from 1 species
UACGUAGGGUGCGAGCGUUGUUCGGAAUUACUGGGCGUAAAGGGCUCGUAGGCGGCCAACUAAGUCAUACGUGAAAUCCCUCAGCUUAACUGGGGAACUGCGUGUGAUACUGGAUGGCUUGGAUUUGGGAGAGGGAUGCGGAAUUCCAGGUGUAGCGGUGAAAUGCGUAGAUAUCUGGAGGAACACCGGUGGCGAAGGCGGCAUCCUGGACCAAUAUUGACGCUGAGGAGCGAAAGCUAGGGGAGCAAACGGG